GGUCCGGCUAAUUACGUGCCAGCAGCCGCGGUAAUACGUAAGGACCGAGCGUUGUCCGGAAUCAUUGGGCGUAAAGGGUACGUAGGCGGCUAAUUAAGUUAGGAGUGAAAAAGCCAUAGCUCAACUAUAGUAAGCUUUUAAAACUGAUUAGCUUGAGUAAUUGAAGGGUAAGUGGAAUUCCUAGUGUAGCGGUGAAAUGCGCAGAUAUUAGGAAGAAUACCAGUGGCGAAAGCGACUUACUGGCAAUUAACUGACGCUGAGGUACGAAAGCGUGGGUAGCAAACAGGAUUAGAUACCCUGGUAGUCCACGCCGUAAACGAUGGGUACUAGGUGUAGGGGGUAUCAACUCCCCCUGUGCCGUCGCUAACGCAGUAAGUACCCCGCCUGGGGAGUACGGUCGCA
rnacentral:rRNA from 1 species